rnacentral:rRNA from 1 species
UGGGGAAUAUUGGACAAUGGGGGCAACCCUGAUCCAGCAAUGCCGCGUGUGUGAAGAAGGCCUUCGGGUUGUAAAGCACUUUUAUCGGGAACGAAACAUUGUCGGCCAAUACCCGGCAAGACUGACGGUACCCGAGGAAUAAGCACCGACUAACUCCGUGCCAGCAGCCGCGGUAAUACGGAGGGUGCAAGCGUUAAUUGGAAUUACUGGGCGUAAAGCGUGCGCAGGCGGUUUGUUAAGUCUGCUGUGAAAUCCCCGAGCUCAACUUGGGAAUUGCAGUGGAUACUGGCAAGCUGGAGUACGGUAGAGGACGGUGGAAUUCCCGGUGUAGCAGUGAAAUGCGUAGAGAUCGGGAGGAACACCAGUGGCGAAGGCGGCCUUCUGGACCAGUACUGACGCUCAUGCACGAAAGCGUGGGGAGCGAACA